rnacentral:rRNA from 1 species
GCCAGACUCCUACGGGAGGCAGCAGUGGGGAAUAUUGCACAAUGGGGGAAACCCUGAUGCAGCGACGCCGCGUGAGUGAAGAAGUAUUUCGGUAUGUAAAGCUCUAUCAGCAGGGAAGAAAAUGACGGUACCUGAUUAAGAAGCCCCGGCUAACUACGUGCCAGCAGCCGCGGUAAUACGUAGGGGGCAAGCGUUAUCCGGAUUUACUGGGUGUAAAGGGAGCGUAGACGGCAGCGCAAGUCUGAAGUGAAAUGCCGGGGCUUAACCCCGGAACUGCUUUGGAAACUGUGCAGCUAGAGUGCAGGAGAGGUAAGUGGAAUUCCUAGUGUAGCAGUGAAAUGCGUAGAUAUGUGGAAGAACACCGAUGGCGAAGGCAGCCUCCUGGGACGCAACUGACGCUCAUACACGAAAGCGUGGGGAGCAAACAGGAUUAGAUACCCUAGUAC